CACAUUGUAUAUGGAUAAAAUUUUGGCGGUGUUAAAAAUCCUAGUUUUUGGGUUAUAGGAAGUGAAGGUAGAAUCUAAUCUAACCUAUACUAAAAGGUAAAUAAGCUCAAUGUUAAGCAUGUCCAGGUCGUUUAUAAAAAUCAACCAAUCAGGAAGCAUCCAUUCGCCAUGUCAUUCAAUUUAUAACUCGAGACAAAAUUUACUGGGCUUAAACCAUUGUAGCAACAGCCCACAUCACUUCCAACUUUUGUUGUCACAAUCGAGCAACGGGACUCCUCCAUCACCCUCAUCAUUUCCAUCGUGAAAUUCAUCGGUCUCUGGUUACGGUGUAAUAAUGUCCAUCAGAUCUAAAUCAUUAAAUUGAGAUAUUGUAUCGUUCUACAUCCCUUUAUUUCUCCAUCUAUCCCUAAUCAAAAACCUCUGUAGAAGAAUAUAAAACUAUGGCCCUGAAAUCUGUUCAACCCUCCGCUAAGUUUCCUCGAGGAUCCAGAAGCCACUGAGGAAGAUUCGGUGGAUGAUGAAGUUGCAGAGAUUAGAGUUGAUUAUCGUAGGAGCCGCUGAAGUGUAAUGUGAUUGAGUAUGCUCCAGAGCAGCCCGAGUUUGAAGAUGGUUUUAACGUUGAGUUCAAGCAAAUCUUUGAGAAGUUUAACUUCAGGGAACCUGUCUGAUUCUCUCUGUCUAAGAGACAGUUUUAGUAUCAUGGGGGCAUUAGGUUAUGAUUAUAAAAAGUGAUUGACUCUAUUGUGUUAAUAAAAAAGUUUAUGUCUUGCAGGUUGAAGUUUAUAAGUUAAAUGCAGAAGUUUUACGGUUGGAGCUGAUGGUAUCUUAAUGGAGGCUUGUCAGAAUUUGAAUAUUACACCGUAAUUAAGCCAUUCGGAGAUCUGAGUUUUGGUAAAUGGCACAGACUUAUGUGAUUUGUAUUUCAGAAUCCUGAUCAGAUGCUUCUUGGUCCCAAUGGCUGUGUGGAAAAUGGUGCCCCUUCUAAAGAUUUUAGUCGGUGUACUGAAUCCAAACCAGCGGAACUGUCUUUGUGUAAAAACCUUAAGAAUUUUUGUAUUUCAGAAUCCUAACAUCAGACAGAUCAGUUAAAUGGAGUCUGGUUAUCCUUUCCUCUCUGCCUUGCAUAACAGGAGCCUAAUUCCAGCUAUCUUGCAGCGUUCUGACCUUUAUUUGGAUUCACGGUUCUCUAGCUAUUGCAGAUUUGUCUAAUCCAAUAUGGAUGCGUUGUUCGUGUGUAUUUAGCUUUUUAGUUCUUGCUGAUUCCAGUUGCAGCUUCUUGGAAUACAACUUGGGAUUUUAUUAAUUAAAGUGCAUCCACUACGCUUUCUCUGAGAAAUACAUGCUAAGGCCGAGAAGGAAAAUGUGAGCUCAAGGUUUUUAUUUAGUUCCCAUGUUUUCUUGUCUUUUUUAUAUUUAGUUCUGAUAUUUGUGUAAGAUUUGAUGAAAAUGUUUACAUGUUUGUGGUACUGAUAUAAGUAGAUUUUGGUUUAUUAAUGAAAUAUAAAUUGAAUAUUA